rnacentral:rRNA from 1 species
CCUACGGGUGGCAGCAGUGAGGAAUAUUGGUCAAUGGACGAGAGUCUGAACCAGCCAAGUAGCGUGAAGGAUGACUGCCCUAUGGGUUGUAAACUUCUUUUAUAUGGGAAUUAAAUGUUCCACGUGGUGGAUUUUGUAUGUACCAUAUGAAUAAGGAUCGGCUAAUUCCGUGCCAGCAGCCGGGGUAAUACGGAGGGUCCGAGCGUUAUUCGGGUUUAUUGGGUUGAAAGGGAGCGUAGGGGGAUUGUUAAGUCAGUUGUGAAAGUUUGCGGCUCAACCGUAAAAUUGCAGUUGAAACUGGCAGUCUUGAGUACAGUAGAGGUGGGCGGAAUUCGUGGUGUAGCGGUGAAAUGCUUAGAUAUCACGAAGAACACCGAUUGCGAAGGCAGUUCACUGGACUGCAACUGACACUGAGGCUCGAAAGUGUGGGUAUCAAACAGGAUUAGAUACCCCGGUAGUC